AGGGUUUGAUCAUGGCUCAGGACGAACGCUGGCGGCGCGCCUAACACAUGCAAGUCGAACGAGCGAGAGAGAGCUUGCUUUCUCAAGCGAGUGGCGAACGGGUGAGUAACGCGUGAGGAACCUGCCUCAAAGAGGGGGACAACAGUUGGAAACGACUGCUAAUACCGCAUAAGCCCACAGGUCGGCAUCGACCAGAGGGAAAAGGAGCAAUCCGCUUUGAGAUGGCCUCGCGUCCGAUUAGCUAGUUGGUGAGGUAAUGGCCACCAAGGCAACGAUCGGUAGCCGGACUGAGAGGUUGAACGGCCACAUUGGGACUGAGACACGGCCCAGACUCCUACGGGAGGCA
rnacentral:rRNA from 1 species